CCGUGGAAGGUUCCCACAACUAGUGCCCACCGUUUACGGUCUGGACUACCAGGGUAUCUAAUCCUGUUUGCUCCCCAAACUUUCGCUCCUCAGUGUCAGUAUUGGCCCAGAAACCUGCCUUCGCCAUUGGUGUUCCUCCUGAUAUCUGCGCAUUCCACCGCUACACCAGGAAUUCCAGUCUCCCCUACCAAACUCUAGUUUGCCCGUAUCGAAUGCAGGCCUGAGGUUGAACCUCAGGUUUUCACAUCCGACGUAACAAACGACCUACGAGCUCUUUACGCCCAAUAAUUCCGGACAACGCUUGCACCCUAUGUAUUACCGCGGCUGCUGGCACAUAGUUAGCCGGUGCUUCUUUUGUAGGUACCGUCACUUUCGCUUCUUCCCUACUGAAAGCGGUUUACAACCCGAAGGCCUUCAUCCCGCA
rnacentral:rRNA from 1 species